GGCAGACGGGUGAGUAACGCGUGGGAACGUACCUUUCGGUUCGGAAUAACCCAGGGAAACUUGGGCUAAUACCGAAUGCGCCGGAAACGGGAAAGAUUUAUCGCCGAAAGAUCGGCCCGCGUCGGAUUAGCUAGUUGGUGGGGUAAUGGCCUACCAAGGCAACGAUCCGUAGCUGGUCUGAGAGGAUGAUCACCCACACUGGGACUGACACACGGCCCACACUCCUACGGGAGGCAGCAGUGGGGAAUAUUGGACAAUGGGCGAAAGCCUGAUCCACCCGUGCCGCGUGAGUGAAAAAGGCCUUAGGGUUGUAAAGCUCUUUCAGCGGGGACGAUUAUGACGGUCCCCGCAAAAGAAGCCCCGGCUAACUUCGUGCCAG
rnacentral:rRNA from 1 species